rnacentral:sRNA from 2 species
UGCCUAGCUCUGCCACCGCUCAAGGUCCGUUCGCAUUUCAUCGUCUGGCAGGGGCGGGGGAACCAAUUUUGGCCUUCAGCUGUAUCGAAGGCCUUGGGGUUAAGUCGCAAAGCUUCCCAGGAAGCAGCGCGGCCGGGUGACUCCCAUCCGAAUCCGACAGCUCACCUCGCAGGCAUUGGGAGAGGCCAC